rnacentral:rRNA from 1 species
CGCGGCGGUCCCACCUGACCGGUCCCACCUGACCCCAUGCCGAACUCAGAAGUGAAACGCCGUAGCGCCGAUGGUAGUGUGGGGUCUCCCCAUGCGAGAGUAGGGAACUGCCAGGC